rnacentral:rRNA from 1 species
UACGAAGGGGGCUAGCGUUGCUCGGAAUUACUGGGCGUAAAGGGCGCGUAGGCGGCACUGUUAGUCAGGCGUGAAAGUCCUGGGCUCAACCUGGGAACUGCGCUUGAUACGGGAGAGCUAGAGGAUGGAAGAGGCUCGCGGAAUUCCCAGUGUAGAGGUGAAAUUCGUAGAUAUUGGGAAGAACACCGGUGGCGAAGGCGGCGAGCUGGUCCAUUACUGACGCUGAGGCGCGACAGCGUGGGGAGCAAACAGG